rnacentral:misc_RNA from 1 species
CAUACGUAUCCACACCCCUCUGUGUGUGUGUCUGUGAUCGCAAUGACGACCGCGCAACUCGCCUGCACGUACGCCGCGCUCAUCCUCAGCGCGUCCGGCAAGACCGAUGCCGACUCCAUCUGCGCCGUGACGAAGGCCGCUGGUGUCGAGGUGAGCCACGGCAUGGCCGCCGCCUUUGCCAACGCCCUCGCCUCCGUCAACGUGAACGAGGUGCUCGGCAGCAUCCGCUUUAGCGGUGCGGCCGCUGGUGGCGCUGCUGCCCCCGCUGCCGCUGCCGCCGCGAGUGGCGCGGCCCCGGCUGCGGCGGCCGCGAAGGAGGAGCCAGAGGAGGAUGCAGACGACGACAUGGGCUUUGGUCUGUUCGACUAAGCUCUUCGGAUCGCAGCGAGAGAGUGUACGCACGUGCGUGCGUGCUGGUGUGCACAGGCGCACGCGUAAGUUUAGCGGGGGUUCUCGCUACCGCCACUCGCUUGCUGUCCACAUCCCCCCUCCGCUCUCUCCGCCGAACGCAUCGCGCGGCCGACAGGCGUGCGCUCGAUGCCGCUUUCCUUUCUUAUUUGCCUCUACGGAUGAUUUAC